UACGUAGGGAGCAAGCGUUGUCCGGAAUCAUUGGGCGUAAAGCGCGCGUAGGUGGUUCCAUAAGUCCGUUGUGAAAGUCAAAGGCUCAACCUUUGAAAGCCGAUGGAUACUGUGGAGCUAGAGUACGGAAGAGGCGAGUGGAAUUCCUGGUGUAGCGGUGGAAUGCGCAGAUAUCAGGAGGAACACCAAUAGCGAAGGCAGCUCGCUGGGACGUUACUGACACUGAGGCGCGAAAGCGUGGGGAGCGAACAGG
rnacentral:rRNA from 1 species